rnacentral:rRNA from 1 species
AGAAUCAACGCUGGCGGCGUGCCUAACACAUGCAAGUCGAACGAGAAAGUGGAGCAAUCCAUGAGUAAAGUGGCGACCGGGUGAGUAACACGUGACUAACCUACCUUCAAGUGGGGGAUAACCUCGGGAAACCGGGGCUAAUACCGCAUAACAUCUCUGGAGUGGAAAUUCUGGAGAUCAAAGGAGCAAUUCGCUGGAAGAGGGGGUCGCGGCUGAUUAGCUAGUUGGCGGGGUAAUGGCCCACCAAGGCUUUGAUCGGUA